CUGGCCUGCUCAGUGUUUAUAUAAACAGCCGCGGUAACUUGACUGUGCAAAGGUAGCAUAAUCAUUAGUUUUUUAAUUGGGGGCUGGAAUGAAGGGUUUGACGGGGAUUGGCUUUUAUGGUGUGUUAUUUGAAUUUUAGUUUAUUGUGAAGACGCGAUAAUGUGGCUGAUUGACGAGAAGACCCCAUAAAGCUUAAGGGUGUUUAGUAUUUUCAAAAGUAUGUGUUUUAUUGGGGCAAUAGAGUGGUGAUAGAGUAAUGGUUGUUUUGUUAUGUAUCUUUUUUUAGUCUUUUGUUUGAUCCAUGUGUUAUGAUAAUAAGAUAAGCUACUUUGGGGAUAACAGCGUAAUUGUGUUGGAGAGUACUUAUUGAUAAUGCAGUUUGCGACCUCGAUGUUGAAUUAAGAUACCGCUGAGCUGUAGAAGGUUUUUACGGGGGUCUGUUCGACCUUAAAAUUCUUACAUGAUCUGAGUUCA
rnacentral:rRNA from 1 species